AGGAAAAGAAACUAACAAGGAUUCCCCUAGUAACUGCGAGUGAAGCGGGAAAAGCUCAAAUUUAAAAUCUGGUAGUCUUUGGCUGCCCGAGUUGUAAUCUAGAGAAGUGUUAUCCGCACUGGACCGUGUACAAGUCUCCUGGAAUGGAGCGUCAUAGAGGGUGAGAAUCCCGUCUUUGACACGGACUACCAGGGCUUUGUGAUGCGCUCUCAAAGAGUCGAGUUGUUUGGGAAUGCAGCUCUAAAUGGGUGGUAAAUUCCAUCUAAAGCUAAAUAUUGGCGAGAGACCGAUAGUGAACAAGUACCGUGAGGGAAAGAUGAAAAGAACUUUGGAAAGAGAGUUAAACAGUACGUGAAAUUGUUGAAAGGGAAACGCUUGAAGUCAGUCGUGUUGGCCAGGGAUCAACCUUGCUUCUUGCUUGGUGUACUUUCUGGUUAAUGGGUCAGCAUCAAUUUUGACCAGUGGAAAAAGACUAGGGGAAUGUGGCAUCUUCGGAUGUGUUAUAGCCCUUGGUUGCAUACACUGGUUGGGAUUGAGGAACUCAGCACGCCGCAAGGCCGGGUUUUUACCACGUUCGUGCUUAGGAUGCUGGCAUAAUGGCUUUAAUCGACCC
rnacentral:rRNA from 1 species